GCGAACGCUGGCGGCAGGCCUAACACAUGCAAGUCGAACGAACUCUUCGGAGUUAGUGGCGGACGGGUGAGUAACACGUGGGAACGUGCCUUUAGGUUCGGAAUAACUCAGGGAAACUUGUGCUAAUACCGAAUGUGCCCUUCGGGGGAAAGAUUUAUCGCCUUUAGAGCGGCCCGCGUCUGAUUAGCUAGUUGGUGAGGUAAAGGCUCACCAAGGCGACGAUCAGUAGCUGGUCUGAGAGGAUGAUCAGCCACAUUGGGACUGAGACACGGCCCAAACUCCUACGGGAGGCAGCAGUGGGGAAUCUUGCGCAAUGGGCGAAAGCCUGACGCAGCCAUGCCGCGUGAAUGACGAAGGUCUUAGGAUUGUAAAAUUCUUUCACCGGGGACGAUAAUGACGGUACCCGGAGAAGAAGCCCCGGCUAACUUCGUG
rnacentral:rRNA from 1 species